rnacentral:lncRNA from 1 species
CCUAGCCACUCUCCUGACCCUGUUCUGAGUGGUAAAGAAAAAAAUGCCUAGAAUGUACAGUAUUCCAUUCCCAUCUGGAAGAGGUAACCACGGGGGGGCUGGAGCUGGCCUCGGACUUGACCACCGAGCCCAUGGAGCCGAGCGCCAUGCCGGGGGUGCCCUGCUGCGAGUAGGACAUGCUGUAGGUGGGAGAGCCGUUCAUGUAGGUCUGCGAGCUGCUCAUGGAGUUGUACUGCAGCGCGCUCACGUCGUAGCGGUGCAUGGGCUGCAUCUGCGCGGCGCCGUGCGCGUUGAGGCCCGGGUGCUGCGGGUAGCCCAGCUGGUCCUGCAUCAUGCUGUAGCUGCCGUUGCUCCAGCCGUUCAUGUGCGCGUAGCUGUCCAUGCGCUGGUUCACGCCCGCGCCCAGGCCGGCGCCCACCCCGACCCCGCUCGCCAUGCUGUUGCCGCCGGGGGCCAGCAGCCCGCCGGGCAGCGUGUACUUAUCCUUCUUCAUGAGCGUCUUGGUUUUCCGCCGGGGCCGGUAUUUAUAAUCCGGGUGCUCCUUCAUGUGCAGCGCUCGCAGCCGCUUGGCCUCGUCGAUGAACGGCCGCUUCUCCGUCUCCGACAAAAGUUUCCACUCGGCGCCCAGACGCUUGCUGAUCUCCGAGUUGUGCAUCUUGGGGUUCUCCUGGGCCAUCUUGCGCCGCUGCCCGCGGGACCACACCAUGAAGGCGUUCAUGGGCCGCUUGACGCGGUCCGGGCUGUUCUUCUGGUUGCCGCCCGCCGCCGCCGCCGCGCCGUUGCCGCCGCCGCCACCGCCACCGCCGCCGCCGCCGCCGCCGCCGCCCCCCGAAGUCUGCUGCGGGCCCGGCGGCUUCAGCUCGGUCUCCAUCAUGUUGUACAUGCGGGCGCUGUGCGCGGGCCCGGCCCGCCGGGCGGCCGCCGACCCUCGGCGCGGCUGGGGACUCGGGGGGCCCGCGGGCGGGGGCGAGAGGAGGUAGGGGGAGGCGUGCGGGGUUUGCCGCGAGCGCGGGAGACCGGACGGAGAGCAAUUCUGGGGGAAGAGAAGGGAGAGAGAGGGAGAGAGGGACAGGGCAGAGAAGGGAAAAAGGUAAGCGAAUUUGGAAUCGGUAUCAAAAAAACAAGAGCUUUCUCUUCCGCCUUCCGG